ensembl:miRNA gga-mir-1622 gga-mir-1622
GAGCAGGCAUAUGGCAGAGUUAGAUCUCUCUUGUGAGCGUGUGAUGCAUGACUACACAUAUGAUGAGUACUGAUGAGACGUGCCACAUGUGCACAUC